rnacentral:misc_RNA from 1 species
UCACACAAACAAAACUGUUUCCGCUCGACUCGUAUGCAGCGUAAUAGUCGUUGUUACAUAUAUAUUUUUCUACCACAGCCUCUAGAAAAUUCAGCCUGACUCAGAUGAAUUUCAGUCUUAUCCUCGAAAUCACCGUGUUUCCGUGACUGACAACUGGAUAUAUAAUCAACAGCGAAUAUGAACAUACAGCUGGAUAUUAGAUGGUCGACUUGGUCUUCACAAUUGAGGUAGAAGAGAACACUUUGCUGACGAGGCGCAAUCAGCACCAGGCCUGGAGAACGUCGCAGGAGAGGCGGCCGCGUCCAGGUGGAUGGUGGGCGCUGCA